UUUAUUAUAGUUGUACACUGAAAGUUUGUACAACCUUGAAUUGUACACAAAUUUUUUUGGUUUAAAAACAUUGUUUAAAAGCAAGCCUAGCUAUUGCCCUAAACUGUACACGAGCUUAACUUUUUUAGCGUUUAAGCGUUGUUCAAACAUGAGCCUACAACCUCAAACCUUUAAUGUAGCCCCUUGGUUCUCCAUUAAUUUUCAAAUAACAUUUUCUCCGUGAGCAACCUGCAAAGAAAGUGAACAGUUGAUCUUCAGUCAAACACGUGACUCAAUUUUCAUUUAGAAGUUCAUAAUCACCUGCAAAAGACAGGGUACAACAAAUAUCGCUCAACACAAGUUUAGCGGAAACAGUGUCAUAGAAGUACAUUAAAAGGUUGUCAUUAUUGAAUAUGCAAAUCAAGGGCUUGUAGUUCUUGUUUACCUCAGGUUGAUAAUUGUUGGCCAGCACAACUUCAGAACUCAAAGACCUAAGAGAGCUACAAUCUGACAAGAGAUAGGAAAAAACAUGAGUUAAAUAAAAUGUUCAAUGACAGACAUUAGAAACAAAUAGAAACGAUUUAAAUGACACGAGAAUCCCUGGUUUCAAUAUCAUUUUGCUUCAUGUUGGAAAAAAUAUUCUACACCAAAUAUCAAAAAGCAAGCCUUCAAUCAAUCUUUCCAAUGACCAAAUUAUGCUUAUAUUUCACAAAGAAAAUGAUUCUAAAUACACUGCAAUAUGGUACAGAUCAGAUACACGUUCAUUUAGCAGAUUUUAGAAAAUAGUGAAAGUUGACAUUAGGUUCGUAAUCCGACUACCAACAGGGUUAACAAAGCAGAACCAACGCUAGACUGGCAGUUAGAUUGAACUCAUCAUUGUGAUUAAUUAUUAAGCAAAUUAAACGUACCCGACUUAGUAUAGAUGAAGUUCUGCAACCUAGAAGUUGAGAAACGUCAGUUUGGCUCUCUAUCACAUAUUUUCACUUAGCACAAUCCAAAAAAUAUCUAUUGCCUGCAGUGGAACCACAGCAGCCAUGUUAUCCAUUCUUUCGGUCUCGAAAGCAUUGUUCAGUAUGCAUUCAGCUAACGAGUGCACACAUGAAGAAGAUAAUUGUCGCCCCAUCGCUGCAUGUAUGCACAUCCUGUAAUAGAUCACAGACAUUUAAAGGCUCAACAAACAGGCAAGUCUUGUUCAAUAUUUGAGGGCAUAUUGAGAAUAAGAUUGCUCUCAAAGAAAUUUAAGGCUUUAGAUCAAAGUUGGACGAUACAGUAGUCAUGAUAGGGACGUCUUCCUGGCAUGGUACAUGGCGGAAUCCUAAUGUCUUCCAUAACAGAGAUUUUGUUGACGAAGUAUCAAUAUCAAUGAAAUUGAUCACUGCUUCCCUCAACUCCCAUUAUCUCUCUAUCUUAGUUGUACAAAACCCAAACUCAUAACUUCAGAUGUUAUUCCCUUUAGUUUACAUUUUUGUUUCAACAGCCAUGGUAUAAAUAACUGAUGAUCAAGCCAAAUGAUGUAUGUUAUGAUCAAGCCAAAUGAUCAACUAACUUGAGCAAGUAGCCUGCUUCAGAAAAAUGGAAAAAUAUUUCUUUUAGUGCCUAUAUUAGCACUGCAUCAACUUAAAAAUUGAGUUGCAUAAUGUGGCAUAACUGUCUUUAUAUCUAAGGCUGAAAGGGUGUGGGAAGGGUGGGGUUGUAUGUUGCGAAAUUUUCAAAACCUGAUCAACUAAUUCUUAAUGCAUAGUAAAUGUGGCAGAUUAUGGACGUGAUGCUAAAUUUCGAAACUACACUAAGAAAAUAAAGAUGUUGGAGGAAGGGCUUAAACCUUCGACUUUGUGCUUUGAAAGCCACACCCUCUAACCAACUGAGUUACUCCAGCUUAUUAUGCAUGCUGUGCUAAAUGUUAUAUUCACAAGAUACAUGGCUUUGUGGUCAUAUCUAACACAUAUCAUAUGAUAUCAUUUGCAAUAGAUCAUAUGCUAAAUGUUAUAGUAAUUAUGUAUUUUUGCCAUUUAACAUAGAUCAUAUGAUAUUAAAAUUACUAACAAAUACAAAAAUUAGUUAAGUAACUACUUACUUCCUUGGAUAAUGACAUCACCAAUGACUUAGUUGCAUGCUCCUUUUUUUGUGUAUUCAUUUUUUGACCUUGUUGGUGGUGUUGCUAAAUUCUUUCCUCGUGGAUAAGUAAACAAUAACGGAUAAUUCCUCGGGAUAAAAAUUUCAAACUACUGACAAAAAAGAGAAAUUAGUAUGUAAACCACUAUCUUAUUAGCUUCACCCACUCAAAAUGCAUUUAAGUUAAUGCAAUAUCUAGUCAAGUUCGAUCAACGCUUUUCAGACCAAGGAAGAUUUCAAAUAGUGCAACCGAAUUUGUGUAAGUGUAAAUCAUGCAUAAGGAUUAAACUAAUGGGCAUCUUGUAAUGGAGGAUGCAAUGAACAUAGAAGAUAAAUCAAAAGAGAGAGAAGAUAAAUCAAAAGAGAGAGACACUCUUCAGAAGCUUAUGAUUUCAUACCCGAUAACCACACUCUUCACGAACUUAUGAUUAAAAAGUUCAAUAGUUUGUUCGUGGAAUCAACUAUUGAACUAUCAAAUCAUGUUUUCAUACCCGAAUCCCGAUAACCACUAAAAUUGUAGUAAAAGAGCAUACCCAGUGCUCCUAACUACAUAUAGCUGAAAAAUCCUCAAUACUUGCCUAUAAACUCAAACACCUACACACUCAAUCACCACAAUCUAUUAUAGCUAGACCAAAGAGCAGAAGUUGUAAUUGCUUUCAGACUUUACCAGAACUGUCCAAUUUUUUUGUUUUGUUAACCUGAAGUCUUGAACUGCUCUUUCUAAAAGUUACUGAGAUUAAGCAGGUCAGAGGUUGUAAAGACUAGAGAAGAAAGAUGCAAAUGUAGUAUGGGUCUAGAAAGAAUUGGUGAAUUUUCCACACCUUAGAGGUGUUUUAUCAUUUCAUAUAUAUACAAGAGUUUACAAUAAUCUUGGAGAGAUUUCCUCUCAAUGAUCCUAAAGAUAUUCUCUCAAUCAUAUAUUCUCUCAAUGAUCCUAAAGAUAUUCUUUCCAUAUACAUAUUAUGCACACAUGUUUAAUGUGAUCAUCUAGAAGGUUCAUCAGAGUCAUUGCUUGAUAUCUUAACACCCCCCUUCAAGAUGAUGGUACUGCAAGGACGAACCAUCAGCUUGUCACGCAGGAACUGAAAUCUGGGAACACUUAAGCCUUUAGUGAAGAUAUCCGCUGUUUGAUCGGUACUACAAACGAAAACGAUUUUUAGUGAACCAUUCAUAACUCGUUCCCUUAGAAAGUGAUAAUCAAUUUCAAUGUGUUUGGUUCUUGCAUGGAGAAUCGGAUUGGAUGCUAAAUAUGUGGCACUAAUAUUGUCGCAAUGAAGGAUGGGAGGAUGAGAUAAUGGAAUACGUAACUCACGAAGUAAAAAUGUGAGCCACUGAAGGUCAGCUGCAGUGUGAGCUAGUGCACGAUAUUCUGCUUCGGCACUUGACCUUGAAACUGUUGUUUGCUUUUUUAGUGGCCCAAGUGAUCAAGUUGCGACCAAAAUACACACAUAGACCUGUUGUCGAUCUUCUAUCGUCGGGACAACCAGCCCAAUCAGCAUCAGAGAACCCUCGAAGACAUUCAUCUUUAGAUUUAACAAGAUGAAUUCCGUAGUUAGGUGUAUUUUUAACAUAACGAAUGAUACGUUUGACGACAGCAAGGUGACUGUCUCGUGGUUGAUGCAUAAAUUGGCAAACUUGAUUGACUGCAUAAGUGAGAUCUGGGCGAGUGAUUGUGAGAUAUUGUAGAGCACCAACUAGACUCCUAUACGAGGUCGCAUCAACAAGAGAACUGGAGUCAGAUAAAGAUAGCUUUGUUCCAGCAGCAACUGGUGAUGAGCAUGGCUUAGCAAGAAGAAAGUUUGCCUUCUUAAGCAAGUUGAGAGCAUACUUGGUCUGGCUUAGCUGGAUGCCUUUCGAAUCACGAUGAACUUCAACACCUAAGAAAUAAUUUAAUGGUCCAAGAUCCUUGACAUCAAACUUCUUAUUAAGUGUUGCAAUAACCUUGGAGAGAUGACCAGUAUUUGAUCCCGUAAUGAUAAUAUCAUCGACGUAGACCAAAAGAAUUAUAAUGUCAUUAGAAGCAUACUGCAGGAACAUGGAUGUGUCGGCUUUACUUCGAAUAAAACCCAUAUCAAACAAAACAACACUGAGUUCAUCAAACCAGGUACGUGGUGCUUGUCGUAACCCAUAAAUGGACUUGUGAAGACGACAUACAUGAUUUGGAAAUUGUUUAUCGGUGAAUCCUGGAGGUUGCUUCAUGUAGACAGUUUCACGAAGAAUACCAUGUAGAAAUGCAUUUUUGAUGUCAAGUUGUCGAAUCGACCAAUUGCGAUUGCUUGCAAUGGAUAAGACAAGGCGGACAGUUGGAGGUUUAACGACUGGACUGAAUGUUUCAUCAAAGUCUAGCCCAUACUGCUGAUUGUAUCCUUUAGCAACAAGUCUGGCUUUGUGUCUUUCUAUGGUGCCAUCUGCAUGUCUUUUAAUCUUAAAGACCCAUUUGCAGCCUACAACAUUUGUUGCGUGAGAUGUGGGAACAAGUGACCAGGUACGUUGACGAAGUAGAGCAUUGAAUUCAUCAAGCAUAGCAGCCCGCCAUUCAGGAAAUUUGGAUGCUUCAGUAUAACAUGUUGGUUCUUCCAUAGGACUAUUAACCACUACUUGAAAACAUUUCGGUAAAGUAUGUUUGCUCACAAGGCCAGUAAAAGGUUGUUUUGGUCGGCUAAUACCAGCACGAAGGCGAGUCACCAUUGGGUGUUGUAUAGUUGUUGCAUCCAAGGUUUGAGGUGGUGGUGGUAAACGAGAGAUAGUCUCUUGUGAUGGUUGGGUCUCGUGUGUGGGUGGGCUUUCAGGUGUUGGUGGGCUUUCAGGUGUUGGUGGGUUUUCAUGUGGUGGUGGGGUCUCAUUGAGUUGGGGUGGAGGAAUUGGUAGUGUUGUUGAAGUGGUAACAGUAGUGGGGUUAGAGACAGUGUUGUUUUUAAAGGAUGGUGGUAAGAGAAGGCCUCUAGUAAUUGGUGGUGUGGGUUCAAUAGGAGCAAGCCAAUCUUCGAGUGACUUUGAAGCCUUAAGUGGACCUGUAGUGAGCAAUUGCGCAAAUGGAAAGAUGUCCUCAUUGAAGCGAACAUGGCGAGAUAGAUAAACUUUUCCACUUUUUGGAUCAAAGCAUCUAUAACCUUUUUGUUGGCUUCCAUAGCCCAAGAAAACACACGACACUGAUUUUGGCGAGAGUUUAUCUGCUUUAGUUGCACCAAGAAAAGGAAAACACUGGCAUCCAAAUGUACGGAGUGUAGCAUAGUCAGGAACCUUGUGAAAGAGCAUCUCAUAUGGUGACUUGUAGUUCAACCCAUGAGAAGGUAAUCUGUUAAUAAGAUAAACUGAGGUUGAGAAUGCUUCCAUCCAAAAUUUGCGUGGUAGAAAGGCAUGAUGACAAAGAGAAAGACCAUGCUCAACAAUGUGUCGGUGCUUGCGCUCAGCUUUACCAUUCUGUUCGGGCGUAUGAGGGCAAGUAAUGCGAUGUUCAAUGCCACUAUUGACAAGCAACUCUGCAAAAACUUUAUUAACAUACUCCUUUCCACCAUCAGUUUGCAAAGAUUUUAUAGUAGUGCCAAAUUGAUUUUCAACAGCAAAUUUAAAUUUUCGAAAAUAAUCAAAUGUUUCAGAUUUGCGAAUGAGAGGAUAAAUCCAUGUAUAUUUAGAAUAAUCAUCCACAAAAAUGAGAUAAUACCUGAAACCACCAUGAGAUAGUUCAGGUGCAGGACCCCAUAAAUCUGAAUGAAUAAGUUGCAAAGGGGCAGUGGAUUUAAAUAAAGAUCUUAAAAACGGCAAACGACAACUUUUAUUAAUAGAACAACUCAAACAGUUAGGAAUUUUAGAACUUCCAAUAAACUGAAGGCACUUAUGUUUCACUAAAUGAUGUAAAAUAUUUGGUCCAGGAUGACCAAGUCGCUUGUGCCAAUUAGCUAAGGUAGAACUUUUCCGAACCAUGGCUGUGUAAAAAUGGGGAAAAGAGCCAUGGCGUUGUGCUUGCAUAGGGAAGAGUGAGUUUUUACUCUUUCCUUGAUGAAGUAACUUCCCUGUCCGUCGAUCCUUUAUAUAAAAACCACCACGAACAAAAGUGAAUUUGCAAUCAUUAUCAUAAACAAAACGAUAGACGGAAAGUAAAUUUGCUGUUAAAUUUGGCACAUAUAAAAUAUCUUUCAACUGAAAAUUAGAAGAUGGUGUGGAAAGUAUCAAAUCACCAGUAGCUUCGAUAGGUAGGGUCUUACCAUUUGCAACAGUAACCUGAUCAGAUCCAUGAUAAGUUUGACGAUUGAUCAUGUUCGAGUCAUCCGGAGUCAUAUGAUUUGUUGCUCCAGAAUCUGGGAACCAUGUUGAUUCACACGGUGCAGAAAAACUCAUAGCNNNNNNNNNNNNNNNNNNNNNNNNNNNNNNNNNNNNNNNNNNNNNNNNNNNNNNNNNNNNNNNNNNNNNNNNNNNNNNNNNNNNNNNNNNNNNNNNNNNNAGGAAGAUCAUCACCUUGAUUUGAAGUAUUGUUUUGUCGGUAAGUGGUUGCACCAUGUCCCGCAUUGUUGCAAUGAUGACAAUCAGGAUGUGAGUUGUGAGAAGUAUAAGAGUAGCCCCGACCAUUACCACGACCUCUAUAGGAACCACGACCAUUUCCACGGCCUCUGUAAGAACCACGUCCAUUCCCUCGACCACGAGAAUAUGAACGACCAUGACCCCGAUUGUUUGAGACAAAGAAGGCGCUGGUUUCACGAUCAGAGUGAGGCUGAUGAUAUAUUUCCAAACGUUUCUCCCGAUUGAGGAGCAUGCUGUAUAGUUCUUCAAAUGAUGGAGGACUACACAUAGCCUGGACCGUAUUAACAACAACAUCGUAAUCAAGAUCUAGGCCAUCAAGAACACAACCGACCAAGUCUCGAGUGGUCAAAGGAUGCUGAAUGAGAGAGAGUUCAUCAGAAAGCAUUUUAAUACGAUCCAUAUACUCAGUAAUAGUUGAGGAACCUUUCUUCAUGUUUGAUAGUUCAUGUUUGAUCUGAUAAUAUCGAGCAUUUGUUUGAGACAUAUAAGCACGAUCUAAUGCUUCCCAAGUUUCACGGGCAGUCUUGUAGCCAACAACCUGCGCAAACACUGGAGGUGUUAAUGUAGCAUGAAUCCAACUAAGAAGAAUUUGAUCUUUCUUCUUCCAUUCAAUGAACUUUGGGUUUAUAACAGUGGUUGCAUUCACUGCAACUACUUCUUGUGGGGUAGAGAUAGUACCAUCAACCAUACUCAACAUAUCAGUUCCAUAAAGAAUAGGAAGUAAUUGACUUUUCCAUAACAAAUAAUUUGUUCGAUCAAGUUUGAUUGCGACCUGGGAUAAAUUUGGUAUUCCAGGAAUGCAAGAUGGGAAGUAAGAUGAUGAAGAAGAGGUGGAAGAUAACGAGGGAGAUGAAGAAGGAGUCAUUAGGACAGGAUUCAAGAGACCUGUGAAACCUGCUCUGAUACCAAGAAAGAAUUGGUGAAUUUUCCACACCUUAGAGGUGUUUUAUCAUUUCAUAUAUAUACAAGAGUUUACAAUAAUCUUGGAGAGAUUUCCUCUCAAUGAUCCUAAAGAUAUUCUCUCAAUCAUAUAUUCUCUCAAUGAUCCUAAAGAUAUUCUUUCCAUAUACAUAUUAUGCACACAUGUUUAAUGUGAUCAUCUAGAAGGUUCAUCAGAGUCAUUGCUUGAUAUCUUAACAGGUCUCACCUGCAACCUGUGAGCUAAGAAUCUUAUCACCAUCAGAGGAAGGUUUUCGAUAUCUACCCAUCUGUUCUGGCCUUAGCCAACACCUAAGGGUCGCUAUCUUGAACAAACCCUUGCUCUAAAGCAAUAUGCAAAAUACAUCAAACACCAUUUGAAAAUCCCAAAUAACAAUAAAAUAACAGAUCUGGAGUUUCUUGUUGGUUUUACACUUAUAAACCGUCAUACUUGUGUUCACUGAUCUGAAACUUAAAGUAAGGUGCUGUUUGUUUUUCCACUUUUCUAGUAACUAGUAGCUUAUAAGCUAUUAGAUCAGCCAAAAGCCCGUUUGUUUUUUUGGGCUUAUAAGAUUUUCUAGUAGAAAAUCGCUAGUUAGUAGGCGGUUACUAUAAGCUCCAGGAUGGAGCUUAUAGGUAGUAGAAAUAUCUGAUAGGAUGUAAAAUUACAUCUAAAACCCUUCUUAAUAAUUAAAAUUACUAUUCAAACCAAAAUCAAAACUGAAAAUUUACAUGGGUUAUGUUUGUUCUAUUUUCGUGGUCUUUUUCUAUUAUUUUAAAAAUUAUUUUAUUGUAUUCAUUCAUUAAGAGAUACUAUUAUUUGUUAUGGUGUAAUAUUAUUUCAUUAAAAAUUUUCUAUGUGUAGUAAAAUAAAAUAAUUAUAGAACAUAAGUCCAUUUUUUUAACGAGGGUAUAUUAGUAAAAAAAGAAUAUAUAAAUAGAUUCAGAAGUGGUAAAAACAAACAGGUAGAACUUAUAAGAAUAGCUUAUAAAAAAUUAUUCAAAAUAAAAACAAACAACAUAUCUUAUAAGCUAUUAGACAUCUAAUAGCUUAUAAGCUACUAGCUAUUAGAACUUGAAAAAACAAACAUCACCUAAAUUUUAAUUGAGCAUCCGCUAUAAAAAUAUUUUCAAUCAGUUAAGAAGAGAACCGCAACAUGAGAAGCAGACCACUUUCUUAUGGCCUACCAUGCCAUUCUCUAAUGGAGAAUGAGGAAUUAAAUUGUAAAUAGCAAUAAUAUAAAGCACUAUAUGAAUACAAUAGAAAGGUAAUUAAAAAGGCGAUCAGAUUGGUGAGAUUACUCAAAAUGAGACAUUGUCCAUAUUUAAUUGAUGAGACAAUACCGAAUACCAAUAACUUCAGAAGCAAAUCUCUGCAUUUCAGGCUCUAACAAUCAUAUUACCUUUCUAAAUUUCUGAGACGUACUUUUUCAGGUAAAAAACUCCUGCUUAUACGUUUUCUAAGAAUAAAAGUUACAUUAUAUGAAGAGAAAUAUAAAUAGCUCCCAGCACUCAAAAACACUAUAAAAUAAUGUUCAAUAAAAAAAAUACCUAGAAAAUAUAUAUACUCCAGUAUGAUUGAGAUAGAUACCUAAGAAUAUAACUUUCAAUUGCCAUAGUAAUAUACAAAAUCAUUCCCUUCAAUUUUGUUUCUAUUCCUGAUUCUAAGCUUUAUGAAGUAAUGCUAAGAUUAACAUUGGAGAUUCAAGAUACACUCACCAUUCACAGAAAAUUAGUUUGUGAUUGGAAAGAGUUCGUUGCUGGUUAUGGACUUGGUCUGUGGUGGAGUGACGAUAAUCUAUCU
rnacentral:lncRNA from 1 species